rnacentral:rRNA from 1 species
GAUGAACGCUAGCGGCAGGCCUAAUACAUGCAAGUCAAGGGGCCCAGCAAUGGGCACCGGCGGACGGGUGCGUAACGCGUACACAACGUACCUUUAAGUGGGGGAUAGCAUUGGGAAACUGGUGGUAAUACCCCAUAAUAAUAUUGGGAGGCAUUUCCUGAUAUUUAAAGCUUCGGCGCUUAGAGAUCGGUGUGCGUCUGAUUAGCUAGUUGGUAGGGUAACGGCUUACCAAGGCGACGAUCAGUAGGGGGUGUGAGAGCAUGACCCCCCACACGGGUACUGAGACACGGACCCGACUCCUACGGGAGGCAGCAGUAAGGAAUAUUGGACAAUGGAGGGAACUCUGAUCCAGCCAUGCCGCGUGAAGGAUGAAGGCGCUCAGCGUUGUAAACUUCUUUUGAAUGGGAACAAUAACUUCUACGUGUAGGAGCUUGAGGGUACCAUUAGAAUAAGCACCGGCUAACUCCGUGCCAGCAGCCGCGGUAAUACGGAGGGUGCAA